rnacentral:rRNA from 1 species
UAGGUCUCAGUUCAGAUUGCAGGCUGCAACCCGCCUGCAUGAAGUCGGAAUUGCCAGUAAUCGCGGAUCAGCAUGCCGCGGUGAAUACGUUCCCGGGCCUUGUACACACCGCCCGUCACACCAUGGGAGCCGGUAAUACCCGAAGUCAGUAGUCCAACCUCGUGAGGACGCUGCCGAAGGUAGGAUUGGCGACUGGGGUGAAGUCGUAACAAGGUACC